AUUGAACGCUGGCGGCAGGCCUAACACAUGCAAGUCGAGCGGAUGAAGGGAGCUUGCUCCUGGAUUCAGCGGCGGACGGGUGAGUAAUGCCUAGGAAUCUGCCUGGUAGUGGGGGAUAACGUCCGGAAACGGGCGCUAAUACCGCAUACGUCCUGAGGGGGAAAGUGGGGGAUCUUCGGACCUCACGCUAUCAGAUGAGCCUAGGUCGGAUUAGCUAGUUGGUGGGGUAAAGGCCUACCAAGGCGACGAUCCGUAACUGGUCUGAGAGGAUGAUCAGUCACACUGGAACUGAGACACGGUCCAGACUCCUACGGGAGGCAGCAGUGGGGAAUAUUGGACAAUGGGCGAAAGCCUGAUCCAGCCAUGCCGCGUGCGUGAAGAAGGUCUUCGGAUUGUAAAGCACUUUAAGUUGGGAGGAAGGGCAGUAAGUUAAUACCUUGCUGUUUUGACGUUACCAACAGAAUAAGCACCGGCUAACUUCGUG
rnacentral:rRNA from 1 species